AUUAUAGAAGAGGUUUGGAAUACACGUGAGUGCGAGACAGGAAGGAACUUUUUGGCGGGAAAACACAAAUUUGCAAAGCUUUUGUCUUCGUGAAGUCCUCAUAAAAAGGGACACCCCGGGUAUCUCAAACCAUCGACCCCUUUUAUGGAAGCCUUGACCCACCAUCGUGAAUACACGAAUAAUUACAGGACAAGUAAAAAAGCCAUAUAUGAGUAUUGGAAUAUAAGAUGUUUCCCUAGUGUUUUGACGUAAUGAAGCCAUGACCAGUCCCAAUCCCACCUCACUCGUUGCAAGGACUUCGAUGGCGUCGGCAGAAUUUGACUCAGGCGGCAGUCGUGACUUCGAUGUGGACCGAGAAGCAUUGUUUAUCGGCGACUCAGAGAAGAUGAAGACUUUUUCUGUAUCGUCAGACGGAUGUCGUAGGAAAGAAGUUACGACUUCUACAGUGUCAGAGUCCAGGGAGGAGAAGGGGCGUGGCCCCAAGCCUUGGCCAGACGUGUCAGGACAAGAAUUCGCAAUGUGCGAUGCAGUGCGCGCCAAGAUGGGAGACGAGCAAAGCGCCAGGCUAUCCGACAUGCUCAAAGGAGAACUAGGACAGAAGUUGUUUAAAGGAAACAACGGGACUCCCCCAGCCCUAUCUGGGGUGAUCAGAAGUUACGAGGAGAAGAUUGCAAAGCUCCAGUUCGAAAUAGAUGCGAUAAAGUUGAAAAGCGAAAGACUUCACCGCCUGAGUCUGGCAAAGUGGCGUAUUUUCGCGGCUGAGAAAAUGCGACGAGCGAAAGGCCUCACUUCGCGUGCGAGGCCAGGAAGGCAGGCAAAAAAACGACAACCUCGAAGCUGCCCUAUGCCAGGCUGUAAGGGAAAGGCGGCAGACGUGAACCGCCAUCUUGCUCAAGUCCACAAAAUCACCAGGCCCGAAGAAAGGCGGGAAGUGAUGCAGAUUUCACAAUCGCUGAAGCAUCUUUUACACGAAGAAAUAUGAUCCAGUUGUCACAACAGAGAGCGCGAGUGUAUGGUAUAAACAGCGCAAUGACUCUCAACUAGUCAAAAGAACCCACCAAGUGACCCUUUACGAAAAUGCGGCGGAGAAAACUGCAGAAACGAAACCAGCUGAGCAUCACCAACGUUACCACAGGGAGAGGAUGACAGCAAUGACCAUAAUGACAACUAUUGAUCACUUAAGAAUGACGUCAGUCCGGCACAAGGGCAGACCAAUAUGAAAAUGGGGAGACUUAGGGACAGAAAAAAUGAAAAUCCCAUUAUGUUUACCGAAAAAGCACCGAAAAUCGCUUACAAGCUGAUUUACUUUACUACGGAGAAUAUCAAUUCAAAGUACAUGCAGCUUAGAUCCUUAGAAUUUAUGUAAUUACUGUAUUCUUCAAUCUUGCUAGAUAGCGAAUUGCUCUCUUUGUCUUGUUUAGUUUUGUUUACCUUAGCAGUUUUCCAGAGAAGUAAAUAGUGGACUUCCCAAGGAUUCAUUAUUUUACGGCUAUACUUAUGUUUUGCUACUUGAAAUUGUAUUAUUUUGGAUAAAUAACAAUGCUGACUAUUUUAUCAUUUUGUGGAGAAAGGUUUCUUUUUUUAAUGUUCUUUGAAAAUAAUAGGAGAUUUUCCUCUCUAUAAAGGCAUUGUUUGUAGAAUGUGUGUCUUUUCUAGAGCCAUUUUAUGUUCUGGUGAUACUUUGUGGGGUUUUGUUGUAAGUAAUAGUAAUGAUUGUAUAUUGCAUAGAAAGAGUUCUUAUUUUCUCAUUUUUUAGAAGAAAAAAGUGUGUUUUAUACACAGAAACUUUAUUGUUUAAAGGGUUUAUUUCUUUUGUAAAAGUAUACCAAGCUUUGCUAAUAUAAACUGUGCUUUUUCCUUUAAACAAAUGAUAAAGAUUAUUAUAUAUUGCAUGUUCUACACCGAAAGCAUAAAAGCGAUUGUGUUGAAAA
rnacentral:misc_RNA from 1 species